rnacentral:sRNA from 1 species
UGAGUCGAGGUUGAGCUUCAAUACUGC